AACAAGGGAUGCACUUGUUGUCGUCUUGCUAUGGCAUUGUCUCCGGUGUGCGUGCCGAUAUGAUUCGUGUUUGGCCAUAUGUCGCGGUCUCAGGCUGGCAAUUGUGCGAGUGACGUAACGUUUAAGCGCGUUACAGGUUUUCAUUGGCGUUACUGUUAGAUGUAUUAGCAAACGUAUUUUACGUAAUGUUUCGUUGGUUCUCCCAUCUCCGCCGUUCCAUUCCGCUCACCGACAAUGAUUCCAAGGAGGAGGAGGCGGUAGCGGUGAUGGCCGCUGCUUCGCCUCCCACUCCGACCACCAGCAGUUCGCCUCAGGUCCGGCAGUUGUCCUGCACCAAAUGCUUCGUUGCGCGUUGGUUCUGCUAUCUGGCGUGGUCAAAUCAUUGAAGUGGUGGAGCUCUCAGUGGCCUUUGCCUUAGGAAUCGCUCCAAAAGUCUCGACACUGUUGUUCUCGACCAACGUCGUGCGUGCCAAGGGCUACUCUGUCUGUCAAAGACAUUGUUGUUUUGAUUGCUUAAGAAGAUCCUAUGUGAUUUGAAUGGAAGGGGAUGGUGGGCACGGCUUAGUGUCAUCAAGGUGUUUGUGCAAACGUCCGUGUGAAUGUGCUGGAUCUUGAGCAAGAUGGUCGUGGGUUAGGCACAGAUCAUGUUGGGAAAAUGCUUUGCUAUAUCUAGGAAAGAGUGGAGGUUAUGUUCCUGAAGAUGGUGUGUGCAGUUGGUUCGUUAUAUUGGAUGAUCGUGGGUGCGUGCAGUUGGUUCAUUAUGCUCCCGAAGCUUGUGCUGGAGGCUGAUUCUCUAAAUGUGGUGCAUGUGAUGAAUGACAAAAUCUCAUGGCGAUUACCAAAGCUUGAAGGAUGUCAAGAACUCUUUGGUUCCAGUAGAGUGAAUGGAGUGAAUCAUGUUAGCGUUUCCUUCAAUGAGAUGGCAUUUUGCUAAAAGUACUCUUCAACACCCUGAUGAAGUGAGUUCUUAUGUCAGAAGCUGCAAGAUCUCCCUUUAGUUGAUCAUUUCAUUGAUUUAUAAUUGAAUUCCAUUUAUCAUAAGAAAAGGUAAUCAUUAAUCCUUUUUAACUUUCGUUGCUCUAGUACUAUGAAUUCUCAUUUGGCCUAAUUUUAUUUGGACAUGUCCGAAUCAUUUUAUAAUCUUUUUCUGGUCUUACAUCUAAUCAGAGAUGGUUAAACCUACCAUGCAUUGUAUUAUCCACUAUAUAUUAUUUUGGAUCUUCUUAGUGCUUUUUUCAACUAAUAACGUGGGAUUUAAGAACCAAAACAAGGGGUCUUGAUCCACUGUUCUUUUGGUUUCCAAGAUUCUUCAAUCAUGUAUUUAGAUAGUUUGGUUUAAUGGUAUAUUGAUGGCUCAUACUUCUGCAGUAGCUUUCAUAAGUGGAGAGAAAGCAGAACAAUGUAUCUGUCCGAAUCGGAAGGUGGAGGAAGCUUCAGUGGACUGAUGGUAAUGUAUGACAUAUUUUCCAGCUUCCUCCUAAAUCUGGCUCAUGACCUUUAUUUUGAAACAUGAAAUUCUGCACUUGUUAAUCAAUGACUAUGUAUGUUGACUAACUAUCAGUAUUCUUUUCGAGAUCUACAAAUAUAUAAUCCGGUGAGUUCUAAAGUUUACCAUAUAUUUAUAUUAAAUAAACUGUAGAACUGCUGAUGAAGUGCUUUAAUUAUUACCGUCAGCUUUGUUUCUUGUUUCUGUGUUCUCCUUUAGUUGGGUGCAGAUAUAAAAAGGAGGAGAAAAAGGUAUGUCUCGAGUGCUUUUCCCCCUUUUGUUUUAUGCAAAUAAAUCUACACCACAUUUUAAAUAUUGGCAACUUCGUGGAUGGUUAUACUUGUAGAAUCAAAUCCCUACUCCCAAGGCUUUAUUGGAAACCACAGUCAUUCAAAAACCACAUUUUUCCCUUGUUUGAAUGACUUGGUGUAUGCUGUUGCUCCAAUUAUGUUAUCUCUAAUCUUCAAUAAGAUAAUGCAUUGUGAGUGUCUAUGUUAAGGCCUCAGGAGCAGGGCACAGGUAACUGCAUCCAUUUGUGAGAGAGAGAGAGAGAGAGAGAGAGAGCUAGUGCAAAUAUAUCUGGCUUUCUCUUUUCAUCUACCUAAGUAGAUUUCCGGAGGUGAUUAACUAUAUAUACCUCACAUCACCAUCGUCCUGAUCACCGGAGGUGGAGUGAUGCAAUCGCAGGUAUGCUGAUGGCAGCAAGAUCUCGUCGGAUGCACUGAGCCAAAUCGAAGGAUAGAUCAUUUUUCGUCUUUUAAUUUUGUGUUUUUUUUUUCCUUUUCGAAAAAAGGAGUUGCUUGAUGGACAUGAAAUCGGAUGGCCAUGGAUGCUGCAAUCAUGUAAGAUCAGAAAUCACGUAAUUAUUUGCUAAAUUUGUAUUUCUGUAACAGUCGUGUACCCUUUUUUAAGGGGGGUUUGGAAAUUAUAUAUCUGCUACUUUGAGAUA